UACGAGGGGGGCAAGCGUUGUUCGGAAUUAUUGGGCGUAAAGGGCGCGUAGGCGGUGCGGUAAGUCACCUGUGAAAACUCUGGGCUCAACUCAGAGCCUGCAGGCGAAACUGCUGUGCUUGAGUGUGGGAGAGGCGCGUGGAAUUGCAGGUGUAGCGGUGAAAUGCGUAGAUAUCUGCAGGAACACCCGUGGCGAAAGCGGCGCGCUGGACCACUACUGACGCUGAGGAACGAAAGCUAGGGGAGCAAACAGG
rnacentral:rRNA from 1 species